rnacentral:tRNA from 1 species
GGAGAGAUGGCAGAGUGGACGAAUGCGGCUGCCUCGAAAGCAGUUAUCUCACGAAAGUGGGAUCGGGGGUUCGAAUCCCCCUCUCUCCUCCA